GACGAACGCUGGCGGCGUGCCUAAUACAUGCAAGUAGAACGCACAGUUUAUACCGUAGCUUGCUACACCAUAGACUGUGAGUUGCGAACGGGUGAGUAACGCGUAGGUAACCUGCCUGGUAGCGGGGGAUAACUAUUGGAAACGAUAGCUAAUACCGCAUAAUAUUAAUUAUUGCAUGAUAAUUAAUUGAAAGUUGCAAUUGCACCACUACCAGAUGGACCUGCGUUGUAUUAGCUAGUAGGUGAGGUAACGGCUCACCUAGGCGGCGAUACAUAGCCGACCUGAGAGGGUGAGCGGCCACACUGGGACGGAGACACGGCCCAGACGCCUACGGGAGGCAGCCGGAGGGAAUCUUCGGCAAUGGACGAAAGUCUGAGCGAGCAACGCCGCGGGAGGGAAGAAGGUUGUCGGAUCGUAAAGCUCUGUUGUAAGAGAAGAACGGGUGUGAGAGUGGAAAGUUCACACUGUGACGGUAUCUGACCAGAAAGGGACGGCUAACUACGUG
rnacentral:rRNA from 1 species